UACGUAGGGGGCAAGCGUUAUCCGGAUUCACUGGGUUUAAAGGGUGCGUAGGUGGGUUGGUAAGUCCGUGGUGAAAUCUCCGAGCUUAACUCGGAAACUGCCGUGGAUACUAUCAAUCUUGAAUACUGUGGAGGUAAGCGGAAUAUGUCAUGUAGCGGUGAAAUGCUUAGAUAUGACAUAGAACACCGAUAGCGAAGGCAGCUUGCUACACAGUCAUUGACACUGAGGCACGAAAGCGUGGGGAGCAAACAGG
rnacentral:rRNA from 1 species